rnacentral:rRNA from 1 species
AUGGCAACGACGGCUUGGUAUUUUUGGUAUGAAAGGCGAAAAUGGACACAUGACGAAGAAACUCUAAGCGCAUGUCAAAUCAAUAUAUUAGUGAGAGGCUUAGUAGAAAAUUAUACCAUCUCUUAUAGCCCAAAGGCUCACGUCCGUGCAGAUGCUUGGCUGAAACCAAAGUAUGGUUACGUGAAAUUAAACAUUGACGCGGGAUCUGAUAAUGACACACUCGCAGCAACAUUUGGAGAAGUUAUUCGGGACCAUAGGGGGAAAUUUAUAGCGGCUGCUAAUGAAAAGAUGGACCUUUGCUUCGACUGGUUCACAGCAGAAGCAAUUGCAGUGAGGUUUGGUUUGAAUCUUGCUAAUACCGUCGGAUGCACUUAG